rnacentral:rRNA from 1 species
AUUGAACGCUGGCGGCAGGCCUCACACAUGCAAGUCGAACGAGCGGCGGACGGGUGAGUAAUGUCUGGGAAACUGCCCCAUGGAGGGGGAUAACUACUGGAAACGGUAGCUAAUACCGCAUACUAUCGGAUGUGCCCAGAUGGGAGUAGCUAGUAGGUGGGGUAACGGCUCACCUAGGCGACGAGCCCUAGCUGGUCUGAGAGGAGGACCAGCAACACUGGAACUGAGACACGGUCCAGACUCCUACGGGAGGCAGCAGUGGGGAAUAUUGCACAAUGGGCGCAAGCCUGAUGCAGCCAUGCCGCGUGUAUGAAGAAGGCCUUCGGGUUGUAAAGUACUUUCAGCGGGGAGGCGUUACCCGCAGAAGAAGCACCGGCUAACUCCGUGCCAGCAGCCGCGGUAAUUC